rnacentral:rRNA from 1 species
GUCUAUGGCCAUGCCACCCUGAACAAGCCCGAUGUCUGAUCUUGGAAGCUAAGCAGAGUUGGGCUUGGUUAGUACUUGGAUGGGAGACCACCUAGGAAGACCAGGUGCUGUAGGCA